rnacentral:lncRNA from 1 species
GUGUAAUAGCUGUAGGAAAUGAAAACAGGAAUCAGAGGAGGAAGGGGGAAUACGCAGCCGUGAUGAAUUUCCAAGUGCAGGCCAAGAAGGGAGGUGAGCUAGAGAAAGUCUGGGUUCUCUUUGAUAAGAUUCCUUCCUGGAGAAGCUGGGGAGCCCGGAGUGAGUGUGCACAGCACAAUGAGAGGGACGCUUGGAAGGGGAACAAAGCUGCUUGUGUAAGUGCGAUGGGGGAUGCUAGCCUCUUCAGCCGAGUCCGGAAAUUCAUUCUGUAACAAAGAACUGUCAUUCCAAGUCAAUGACACCUUCUAAAUCCUCUCAGACUGUGCCCAAAAUUACAGAGAAGAAAUGGCGGGUCGAUUCCAUUUGGCCAGAACUGGGUAGCUGUAUACUUCGCUCACAUACCUGGAUCUAACGGAGAUGAGACAAAGGCCAGGCGAUAAAGCAAGUCAGUCCAGGAUGGGGAGGAGGCUGAUGCAGAACAGAUAAUGAAGGGACCGAGAUUUGAAAGCAUGGCGUCUAAGUCUUGCUGUGUAAUGAACAGAGGAGAGUGGAGGGCUGAGAUCUGAGACCCCAGUGCACCUGUGUCUGGAGCUCCCCUGCCAGCAGCUUGGCUUCAGCUCUGGGAAAUGUGGGUGAGCUCCCUGGGAACCUGACUGCCUCGGGCCACCUUGACUGCUUGUUAAAAAGAGCCAAAGGCCAGUAUUUCCUCUAAAGGUCAUAGAUAGAUCCUUAUUUUUAAUAAAGGAGGUGAUCACACAUAUAACUAUUUUAACUUGCUUUUUCGUGGACCUGGGUCAGAGACUGAGCAGGAAUGACUCCAUUCUUUCCCUUAGUUUUCCAUCUAUAGCCUUGGAGAAGAGAAAUUACUCAAGCAGUGGGUAACCCUAAGUUUGUUCUCUGUGUCUAUGAGUCUGUCUGUUUUGCUCAUAAGUUCAUUUGCAUCAUAUUUUAGAUUCUACAUACAAGCGACAUCAUAUGAUAUUUGUCUCUGCUUUCUGAUUUACGUCACUUAAUAUAAUCUCUAGUUGCAUCCAUCUCUCUGCAAGUGGCAUCAUUUCAUACUUUUUAAUGGCUGAGUAGUAUUCCAUUGUAUAUCUACACCACAUCUUCUUCAUCUAUUCAUCUGUCCAUGGACAUUUAGGUUCUGGCAUGUCUUGGCUAUAGUAAAUAGCUCUGCCAUGAACUCUGGGGUGUGUGAAGGCUUUGAAAUUGGAGUUUUUUAUCUUCUCUACAUACAUGCCCAGGAGUGGAAUUGCUGGCUAGUGUGGUAACUCUAUUUUUAGUUUUCUGGGCAAUCUCUACACUGUUCUCCAUAGUGGCUGUACCAGUUGACAUUUCCAGCCACAGUGUAGGAGGGGAACGUGUGUCUUUCCCUGAGCUGACGCCUGCCUCCUUGUAACAGAGCCUCGCUCCUAGUUCGUUAGUACAGCAGGUGUGUGGGGAGGCACCACAACAGGUGAUGCUUCAUCCUGCUGAGGCUGUGACCUGGUUUGGUCUUUGAUGGAGGAAGUCCAUGGAUCAGCUUCUCCAGUGAGGAUGGGGGCUGGUGGAGAGCAGCAGUCCCUUGAAAAUAUUUGCAGGAUUUUGUUUGCAUAUAUGUUUUCCCGGGAAAGCCUCCUUAGCUCUCAGCACUUUUUUCAAGCAUGUCUGUUUGCUUUAGAAGAUUAAGGAGCAUCGGCUUCCUUCUUCAUGGAAUUCUGUGUCUCUCCCAGAUCUCCUCUUGGGAAGCCUAGACCCUCCACGUCUCUGUAUUCCUUGUCUGUCUGUCUCUGUUGUAAAUAUUUCUUUUAAAUAUUUAGGUCUGGGACACCUGCCAAAUUUUCUCAAUUUGUCUGUGUUCCUCUAAGUUUGGGUCCUCAGAUCCAUGCACAAGCUAAACCCCAGGAGUCACCUGAUAGCCCCAAGAGUGUGACAUCUUUCCUUGAUUUGACCUGAGACCUCUUUGAUUGCUCCUAAGUUUUUCUCCUUUGGAAACCUUAGUGUACUUGGUUUGGAAUGUUGAUGUUGCAGAUUUAAAAAAAAAUAAUUUGUUGAUACAUGUAACAACAAAUUACAUAUGCUGGGGGUUCGGGCUGCCUUCAGGCCUCUUCAUAGUCAACACGAUCCUCAGUGCUUUGUGUUGUUCUUGGACCAUGUAUGCAGGACCUGAUACUUAUCCCUUUGAAGUGUCUUGUUAGGAGCAAUGGUAUCAUCAGGUCUAUGGGCUAUCAGCCUUCCUGUCCAGGUUAGAGUCAUCUUCAGAUCUGAUCAGCAUGCCAACAAAUUAAUGACGUUGAGCCAAAUAAGGUCCACACCAGUGUCGCAACUUGCCCCACCCACGGCACUUGUGCUGGGAUUGGGUUGAUAGACCCUUUGGGCAUGAGUGAUGUUUCUCAGAGUGUAUUCUGAAGGACACGGGACUUGAGGAUGGUCCUAGGAAUAGAACCCUAUAAUCCAAUACAUGAGGAUAGGGCUGUAUGUCAUAACCCUUUCUUGGAGACUCAGGAUGCGUAUGAGCGUAUUAAAAAAAGCUAGUGACAGAUUGUUAAGCAUAGUUUUCCAAGGAUAUUUGACCAUUACGUUGUCCUCCCUGCUUUCUCUGUAACACCCAAUAAACAAUCUGCAAACAAAGGUUCUAGAAAACAGUCUGCAAGAGAAAGGCUCUUAUAGAUGUUGAAUCAGUUAGCAUCAUUUAGCGGUCUUAGCUUCUGGCCCAGUUUCUCUUGUUGUUAACCACAAGGGUAAGAUGAGAGAUGAUAUAAAAUGCCUUGCUGAAAACCAGUUUAUCUUGCCAGCCUGUCACCCAUUCAAAAAGGAAAGUACUUACUUGAGGCUGCUCUCAUCCUCUGUCUGCCACGUGAAGUUUGCGUGCCAUAGGAGGAGGGGGUCUUUCUCAGGUUGUUCUGUUAAGACCAGGACCCAGACGCCCUUGGAGGAUCUCAGAGAAACCCAAAGCCCGGAGAUAGCCUGUCAUCAUUUGCAAUAAUAACAGUCAUUAAAAUAUUAGAGUAAUACUGAAUGUUUACUUCAUGUCAGCCACAUCACUCAGUGCUUCACAUGUAAUAGCUCACUCAGCCUUGCAGGAACCGAGUUGGGCAAUUCUGCUGUCCUUAUUUUAUGAAUGAGGAGCUGAAAGCAUCAAGAAUUUGGAAAAGUUACUCAAGGGGAAAUGGCUAAUGAGCAAAGGAGCCGGGCGUCCAACUCAACACUGACCCGAGAGCCCACAUGCUCAUCAGUUCACUGUAUUUUUUUUUUCUUUCAUCAUCAUCAAGUGAAAGAAGUCAGUAGCCAUCAAGCACUUAUUAAAUGUGGGCUUUGGGUGUGGCCUGGUAUUGGGUGAAGCUGAAGACAGCAGCAAAAUAACACAGUCCUUGCCUGAAGGGACUGACACUUCAUUUGGGGGGGACCUUUUGUCGUUGAGUGAAGACAGUGCUUAGCAAGCAGAUGGAAGGCAAUGUGUGAGGAAUGGACUCCCAGUGCCACCCAGGCAGCUCGCUCAGACCUUGACUGCUUCGUCUCCACAGCCAGCUCUCAGAGACACGCUUGCCCAGGGAUGUCUCCCGCCCCUUCUGCUCUACACCUUCUCGCAAUUUCCCUUCUCAGUCUGCAUCUGUCCCUCGCCUCUUAGCUUCUGCGUGUCCCCCACGGAAACCACAAAUCUCCCGGCCCCUUCCAUUCUCAGUCAGUGGCGGACCCGCAGGUGACAUCCACGGCACUUGGAGGUGACCUUGUUUGAGUGAGACGCUGGCUUUUCAGUUACAUACAUCUCCAGUAGGCCGAACUGGCAGCUUGUCAGCAGGCUUAUGUCACUGGGUCAAAUCCCUCCUUGCCCGGCUUCCUUUAGUAAGCACCCCAGGAUGCUCCUGGAGCCCAGAAGGCAGAGGAGGGCAGGUGAGGGAGCCAGAAAGAAAGGGGGGAGCAAAAGCAGAGACCUGUCCCUCCCU